rfam:Schistosoma rodhaini strain Burundi genome assembly, scaffold: SROB_scaffold0003082
AUCCAGCUGAUGAGUCCCAAAUAGGACGAAGCAUACUAUUGUUUAUAGUUUUCUAGAU